rnacentral:rRNA from 1 species
UACGAAGGGGGCUAGCGUUGUUCGGAAUUACUGGGCGUAAAGCGUGCGCAGGCGGUUCGGAAAGAGAGGUGUGAAAUCCCAGGGCUUAACCUUGGAACUGCACUUCUAACUACCGGGCUAGAGUACGUCAGAGGGGGGUAGAAUUCCACGUGUAGCAGUGAAAUGCGUAGAGAUGUGGAGGAAUACCGAUGGCGAAGGCAGCCCCCUGGGAUGAUACUGACGCUCAUGCACGAAAGCGUGGGGAGCAAACAGG